AAUCAACGAGAGUUGAGAUUAGGAAGUGGUAGAGUUAUGGGGGUCUCUGUCACGAGAGUGGAUUGACCCGGUUUUUGAAUCUAUCGUAAUGGGUAUCUACCUUUUGCCUAUUAGCCAUCUGAUGAACCCUAGAGUUGCCCUUAUCAAUGAAUCCAUCCUUAGAACUUCUAUUAGAUUUAUUUGUAUCCCCUGUUGAUUGCACUUUUAUUUACCUGUUAUUUGUAUCCCCUGUUGAUUGCAUUUAGGUUACUUAAUUUUGUUGCAUGUUGGUUCUACUCGACCCAAUGAUCGAGUAGGGCUCUUAAGUUUUCUUUUUUACUUGUUUGAAUCCUGACCUAGGAUUAUUACUAGAAACCCACCAUCAUUAUAAUCU
rnacentral:sRNA from 1 species